GUUUAAAACCUCAGCAUUUAUGAAAUCCUACCUGCGAUGGUCAAGCUAAGCAAGGUCGAAAUUGGUUAGUACUUGGAUGAGAGACCACCAGAGAAUCCAAGUGUCUGUAGGCC
rnacentral:rRNA from 1 species